GGUGGCCUAGUGGUUAGAGCGUCUGUCCUCGGAAGGGAAGGUCGCGGGUUGGAUCCCCAUACCA